GACGUAGGGCGCGAGCGUUGUCCGGAUUUAUUGGGCGUAAAGAGCUCGUAGGCGGCUUGUCGCGUCGUCCGUGAAAACCUGCAGCUCAACUGCAGGCUUGCGGUCGAUACGGGCAGGCUGGAGUUCGGUAGGGGAGACUGGAAUUCCUGGUGUAGCGGUGAAAUGCGCAGAUAUCAGGAGGAAUACCGAUGGCGAAGGCAGGUCUCUGGGCUAUAACUGACGCUCAUGCACGAAAGCGUGGGGAGCAAACAGG
rnacentral:rRNA from 1 species